CCGGCGACCGGCGCACGGGUGAGUAACACGUAUGCAACCUGCCCCUGUCAGGGGGACAACCCGCCGAAAGGCGGGCUAAACCCGCGUACAUGCCACCGGGGCAUCCCGGAGGCAGGAAAGGCUUCGGCCGGACAGGGAUGGGCAUGCGGCGCAUUAGGCAGUAGGCGGGGUAACGGCCCACCUAACCGACGAUGCGUAGGGGUUCUGAGAGGAAGGUCCCCCACACUGGUACUGAGACACGGACCAGACUCCUACGGGAGGCAGCAG
rnacentral:rRNA from 1 species